GUUCCUCGACGCGGGCCACGGG
rnacentral:misc_RNA from 1 species